GGCCCAGACUCCUACGGGAGGCAGCAGUGGGGGAUAUUGCACAAUGGGGGGAACCCUGAUGCAGCGACGCCGCGUGGGUGAAGGAGUGCUUCGGCAUGUAAAGCCCUAUCGGCAGGGAAGAAGCAAGACGGUACCUGACUAAGAAGCCCCGGCUAACUACGUGCCAGCAGCCGCGGUAAUACGUAGGGGGCGAGCGUUAUCCGGAUUCACUGGGUGUAAAGGGAGCGUAGACGGCCAUGCAAGCCAGGGGUGAAAGCCCGGGGCCCAACCCCGGGACUGCCCUUGGAACUGUGCGGCUAGAGUGCGGGAGGGGCAGGCGGAAUUCCUGGUGUAGCGGUGAAAUGCGUAGAUAUCGGGAGGAACACCAGUGGCGAAGGCGGCCUACUGGGCACUAACUGACGCUGAGGCUCGAAAGCAUGGGUAGCAAACAGGAUUAGAUACCCCAGUA
rnacentral:rRNA from 1 species